ACCGCGACAGCACAGCUGGCUGAGCAUCUGCCCGGUAAGCAGAAGGUCGCCGGUUCGAUUCUGGCUCGUGGCG
rnacentral:tRNA from 1 species